UGGCGCACGGGUGAGUAACGCGUAACUGACCUACCCCGAAGUCUGGAAUAACUGGCCGAAAGGUCAGCUAAUACCGGAUACCCACAUGACUUUUGAGUCAUGUGGAAAGAUUUAUUGCUUUGGGAUGGGGUUACGUUCCAUCAGCUAGUUGGUAGGGUAAAGGCCUACCAAGGCGACGACGGAUAGCCGGCCUGAGAGGGUGGCCGGCCACAGGGGCACUGAGACACGGGCCCC
rnacentral:rRNA from 1 species